rnacentral:lncRNA from 1 species
CCAACUCUGUGGUAGGCUGGGAAUUAUGCCUGCGCACUCAAAUCCACUCUAUUUCGAUAAUUUUUCAGCUAAGGGGGCUCAACCGAGCAUCGUGACAAUGGGAACAAGUAGAUGCUACUCUCAGUGUCCACUAAACCAUAAGUCCUUUGAGGAUACAGGAAGACAUCCACCAAUCUCAAGAUCUAAAUGUGAUAAGAGGAAGUCUGCAAGCAAAGAAGAUGUUACCCACCACCUCUUACAGAAAUGGCAGAAUCUCUGGGAAUA